GCCGGGUGUGGUGGUGUACGCCUGUAAUCUCAGCUACUUGGGAGGCUGAGACAGGAGAAUAGCUUGAACCUGGGAGGCAGAUGUUGCAGUGAGCUGAGAUCAUGCCACUGCACUCUAUCCUGGGUGACAAAGUGAGAUUCUGUCUCAA
ensembl:misc_RNA Metazoa_SRP Metazoan signal recognition particle RNA